rnacentral:rRNA from 1 species
CACGUAGGGGGCGAGCGUUGUCCGGAUUUAUUGGGCGUAAAGAGCUCGUAGGCGGUUCGGUAAGUCGGUGUGAAAACUCUGGGCUCAACCCAGAGCCGCCACCCGAUACUGCUGUCGACGUCGAGUGCGGUAGGGGAGGCGGGGAAUUCCUGGUGUAGCGGUGAAAUGCGACAGAUAUCAGGAGGAACACCAGUGGCGAAGGCGCCGCUCGUGGGCCGUGACUGACGCUGAGGAGCGAAAGCGUGGGUAGCAAACAGG